UACGGGGGGUGCGAGCGUUGUCCGGAAUCACUGGGCGUAAAGGGCUCGUAGGCGGCUCGUCGCGUCGACCGUGAAAACCCGCAGCUUAACUGCGGGCUUGCGGUUGAUACGGGCGGGCUAGAGUUCGGUAGGGGAGACUGGAAUUCCUGGUGUAGCGGUGAAAUGCGCAGAUAUCAGGAGGAACACCGGUGGCGAAGGCGGGUCUCUGGGCCGAUACUGACGCUGAGGAGCGAAAGCGUGGGGAGCGAACAGG
rnacentral:rRNA from 1 species